GCUCGAUACGACCGUACCGCAAACCGACACUGGUGCGCGAGAUGAGUAUUCUAAGGCGCUUGAGAGAACUCAGGAGAAGGAACUCGGCAAAUUGACACCGUAACUUCGGAAGAAGGUGUGCCCUAUUAGUGUGUAGUGAACAACGAAGCAUGAAUGGGUUGCAAAAAAUCGGUGGCUGCGACUGUUUAUUAAAAACACAGCACUCUGCAAACACGAAAGUGGACGUAUAGGGUGUGACGCCUGCCCGGUGCUGGAAGAUUAAAUGAUGGGGUGCAAGCUCUUGAUUGAAGUCCCAGUAAACGGCGGCCGUAACUAUAACGGUCCUAAGGUAGCGAAAUUCCUUGUCGGGUAAGUUCCGACCUGCACGAAUGGCGUAACGAUGGCCACACUGUCUCCUCCUGAGACUCAGCGAAGUUGAAAUGUUUGUGAUGAUGCAAUCUCCCCGCGGAAAGACGGAAAGACCCCAUGAACCUUUACUGUAGCUUUGUAUUGGACUUUGAACAGAUCUGUGUAGGAUAGGUGGGAGGCUUUGAAGCAGGGUCGCUAGAUCUUGUGGAGCCAACGUUGAAAUACCACCCUGGUGUGUUUGAGGUUCUAACCUAGGUCCAUUAUCUGGAUCGGGGACAGUGCAUGGUAGGCAGUUUGACUGGGGCGGUCUCCUCCCAAAGCGUAACGGAGGAGUUCGAAGGUACGCUAGUUACGGUCGGACAUCGUGACGAUAGUGCAAUGGCAUAAGCGUGCUUAACUGCGAGACUGACAAGUCGAGCAGAUGCGAAAGCAGGACAUAGUGAUCCGGUGGUUCUGUAUGGAAGGGCCAUCGCUCAACGGAUAAAAGGUACUCUGGGGAUAACAGGCUGAUACCGCCCAAGAGUUCAUAUCGACGGCGGUGUUUGGCACCUCGAUGUCGGCUCAUCUCAUCCUGGGGCUGUAGCCGGUCCCAAGGGUAUGGCUGUUCGCCAUUUAAAGAGGUACGUGAGCUGGGUUUAAAACGUCGUGAGACAGUUUGGUCCCUAUCUUCCGUGGGCGCUGCAGAUUUGAGGAAGCCUGCUCCUAGUACGAGAGGACCGGAGUGGACACACCUCUGGUGUAUCGGUUGUCACGCCAGUGGCAUUGCCGAGUAGCUAAGUGUGGAAGAGAUAACCGCUGAAAGCAUCUAAGCGGGAAACUCGUUUCAAGAUGAGAUCUGCCGGGGCCUUGAGCCCCCUAAAGAGUCGUUCAAGACCAGGACGUUGAUAGGUCAGGUGUGGAAGCCG
rnacentral:rRNA from 1 species